GAUGAACGCUGGCGGCGUGCUUAACACAUGCAAGUCGAACGAAGCACUUUAUUUGAUUUCCUUCGGGACUGAUUAUUUUGUGACUGAGUGGCGGACGGGUGAGUAACGCGUGGGUAACCUGCCUUGUACAGGGGGAUAACAGUUGGAAACGGCUGCUAAUACCGCAUAAGCGCCCAGCAUCGCAUGAUGCAGUGUGAAAAACUCCGGUGGUAUAAGAUGGACCCGCGUUGGAUUAGCUAGUUGGUGAGGUAACGGCCCACCAAGGCGACGAUCCAUAGCCGACCUGAGAGGGCGACCGGCCACAUUGGGACUGAGACACGGCCCAAACUCCUACGGGAGGCAGCAGUGGGGAAUAUUGCACAAUGGGCGAAAGCCUGAUGCAGCGGCGCCGCGUGAGCGAAGAAGUAUUUCGGUAUGUAAAGCUCUAUCAGCAGGGAAGAUAAUGACGGUACCUGACGAAGAAGCACCGGCUAAAUACGUG
rnacentral:rRNA from 1 species